rnacentral:rRNA from 1 species
CCUACGGGUGGCAGCAGUGGGGAAUAUUGCACAAUGGGGGAAACCCUGAUGCAGCGACGCCGCGUGAGUGAAGAAGUAUUUCGGUACGUAAAGCUCUAUCUGCAGGGAAGAAAAUGACGGUACCUGACUAAGAAGCCCCGGCUAACUACGUGCCAGCAGCCGCGGUAAUACGUAGGGGGCAAGCGUUAUCCGGAUUUACUGGGGGUAAAGGGAGCGUAGGCGGCAGCGCAAGUCUGGAGUGAAAUCCCAUGGCUUAACCAUGGAACUGCAGUGGAAACUGGGCAGCUAGAGUGCAGGAGAGGUAAGCGGAAUUCGUGGUGUAGCGGUGAAAUGCUUAGAUAUCAGGAGGAACACCAGUGGCGAAGGCGGCUUACUGGACUGUAACUGACGUUGAGGCUCGAAAGCGUGGGGAGCAAACAGGAUUAGAUACCCGGGUAGUC